CCUACGGGAGGCUGCAGUGGGGAAUAUUGGACAAUGGGGGGAACCCUGAUCCAGCGACGCCGCGUGAGUGAAGAAGUAUUUCUGUAUGUAAAGCUCUAUCAGCAGGGAAGAAAGAAAUGACGGUACCUGACUAAGAAGCCCCGGCUUACUACGUGCCAGCAGCCGCGGUAAUACGGAGGGGGCAAGCGUUAUCCGGAUUUACUGGGUGUAAAGGGAGCGUAGACGGCGAUGUAAGGCUGAAGUGAAAGGCGUGGGCCCAACCCCUGGACUGCUUUGGAAACUGUAUGGCUGGAGUGCAGGAGAGGUAAGUGGAAUUCCUAGUGUAGCGGUGAAAUGCGUAGAUAUUAGGAGGAACACCAGUGGCGAAGGCGGCUUACUGGACUGUAACUGACGUUGAGGCUCGAAAGCGUGGGGAGCAAACAGGAUUAGAUACCCCGGUAGUC
rnacentral:rRNA from 1 species